rnacentral:rRNA from 1 species
UACGGAGGAUGCAAGCGUUAUCCGGAUUCAUUGGGUUUAAAGGGUGCGCAGGCGGAGAGAUAAGUCAGUGGUGAAAAACUGCCUCUCAACGGUAGUCUUGCCAUUGAUACUGUCUUUCUUGAGUAUGGAUGAGGUAGGCGGAAUGUGCAGUGUAGCGGUGAAAUGCAUAGAUAUUGCACGGAACACCAAUUGCGAAGGCAGCUUACUGGACCAUUACUGACGCUCAGGCACGAAGGCGUGGGGGAU